CCCUUAGAUGUUCUGGGCAGCACGCGCGCUACAAUGGUCUUCGCAAACGGAUGCAUUCUCGAAGGAGAAUGCCAAUCUUGGAAUCUAUGCCUUGGUCGGGACAGUUGCUUGCAAUGUUUCGACUCGAACCAGGAAUUCCUUGUAAUCGUGAUUCAUCACAUCACGAUGAAUACGUCCCUGCCCUUUGUACACACCGCCCGUCGCUCCUACCGAUCGAAGAGUUAGGUGAAUUGUUUUGAUCGAUAAGAUUUGACUAUGGUCAACUCUCGUUGUGAAAUUCUGUGAAUCUGACUGUUUAGAGGAAGGAAAAGUCGUAACA
rnacentral:rRNA from 1 species